AUACGGAAGGUCCGGGCGUUAUCCGGAUUUAUUGGGUUUAAAGGGAGCGCAGGCUGAUGAUUAAGCGUGACGUGAAAUGUAGCCGCUCAACGGCUGAACUGCGUCGCGAACUGGUUAUCUUGAGUGAGUUCGAUGUUGGCGGAAUUCGUGGUGUAGCGGUGAAAUGCUUAGAUAUCACGAAGAACUCCGAUUGCGAAGGCAGCCAACAAGGCCUUUACUGACGCUAAAGCUCGAAGGUGCGGGUAUCGAACAGGAUUAGAUACCCUGGUAGUCCGCACGGUAAACGAUGGAUGCCCGCUGUUUGCGAUAUACUGUGAGCGGCCAAGAGAAAUCGUUAAGCAUCCCACCUGGGGAGUACGCCGGCAACGGUGAAACUCAAAGGAAUUGACGGGG
rnacentral:rRNA from 1 species